rnacentral:rRNA from 1 species
UGGGGAAUUUUGGACAAUGGGCGAAAGCCUGAUCCAGCAAUGCCGCGUGUGUGAAGAAGGCCUUCGGGUUGUAAAGCACUUUUGUCCGGAAAGAAAUCCUUGGCUCUAAUACAGUCGGGGGAUGACGGUACCGGAAGAAUAAGCACCGGCUAACUACGUGCCAGCAGCCGCGGUAAUACGUAGGGUGCAAGCGUUAACCGGAAUUACUGGGCGUAAAGCGUGCGCAGGCGGUUUGCUAAGACCGAUGUGAAAUCCCCGGGCUCAACCUGGGAACUGCAUUGGUGACUGGCAGGCUAGAGUAUGGCAGAGGGGGGUAGAAUUCCACGUGUAGCAGUGAAAUGCGUAGAGAUGUGGAGGAAUACCGAUGGCGAAGGCAGCCCCCUGGGCCAAUACUGACGCUCAUGCACGAAAGCGUGGGGAGCAAAACAGGAUUAGAUACCCUGGUAGUCCACGCCCUAAACGAUGUCAACUAGUUGUUGGGGAUUCAUUUCCUUAGUAACGUAGCUAACGCGUGAAGUUGACCGCCUGGGGAGUACGGUCGCAAGAUUAAAACUCAAAGGAAUUGACGGGGU